rnacentral:rRNA from 1 species
AGCAGCCGCGGUAAUUCCAGCUCCAAUAGCGUAUAUUAAAGUUGUUGCAGAUUAAAAGCUCGUAGUUGAAUUUCGGGGUUAGUAGGUUGGUCAUGCCUCUGGUAUGUACUGGUCUCACUGAUUCCUCCUUCCUGAUGAACCGUAAUGCCACUAAUUGGUGUGGUCGGGAAUUGGACUGUUACUUUGAAAAAAUUAGAGUGUUUAAAGCAAGCUAACGCUUGAAUACAUUAGCAUGGAAUAAUGAAAUAGGACGUUCGAUCCUAUUUUGUUGGUUUCUAGGAUUGACGUAAUGAUUAAUAGGGAUAGUUGGGGGCAUUAGUAUUCAAUUGUCAGAGGUGAAAUUCUUGGAUUUAUUGAAGACUAACUACUGCGAAAGCAUUUGCCAAGGAUGUUUUCAUUAAUCAAGAACGAAAGUUAGGGGAUCGAAGACGAUCAGAUACCGUCGUAGUCUUAACCAUAAACUAUGCCGACUAGGGAUCGGAUGAUGUUAAUUUUUUUAAUGACUCAUUCGGCGCCUUAC